ACCGAAGCGAUUGCAUCAAGACGAUGCC
rnacentral:sRNA from 1 species